rnacentral:rRNA from 1 species
UGUUCAACGGCGCGCGGUAUCUCUAAACGUGCAAAGGUAGCAUAAUCAUUUGCCCAUUAAUUGUGGGCUAGAAUGAACGGAAUAACGAAAUAAAAUCUGUCUCUACAAGUUUAAUAAAAAUUAAUCUCUAACUGAAGAGUGUUAGAUACUGUCGAAGGACAAGAAGACCCUAUAGAGCUUUAUUCUAUUAAUAAGUCUAUAUUUUUAACAGAAUUCGGUUGGGGCGACCAGGGAAUAAAUAAUCAUCCCCCUACAAAAGAUAUAUAAAUCCUAAUUUUGACCCUAUUUAUAGAUCAUAAGAACAAGCUACCUUAGGGAUAACAGGCUAAUCCUACUAAAGAGUCCUUAUCAAUAGUAGGGAUUGGCACCUCGAUGUUGGCUUAGGGAAUCUAUAUAACGCAAAAGUUAUAUAAAGAUGGUUUGUUCAACCAAUAAUACCCUACAUGAGCUGAGUUCAGACCGGCGUAAGCCAGGUUAGUUUCUAUCCUCGAUAAACAAUCUAUUUAUAGUACGAAAGGACCUAAAUAAGAAUAAUAAUUAUAAACAAAAGAAUAAAUAUAAUAAUCCAAUAAAAGAACCAACACAUAAACUAUG